UACGUAGGUCGCAAGCGUUGUCCGGAUUUACUGGGCGUAAAGAGCGCGCAGGCGGCUGGUCAAGUCCGAUGUGAAAUCUCCCGGCUUAACUGGGAAACUGCAUCGGAAACUGAUCGGCUUGAAGGUGGGAGAGGAAUGCGGAAUUCCAGGUGUAGCGGUGAAAUGCGUAGAUAUCUGGAGGAACACCGGUGGCGAAGGCGGCUUUCUGGGUCUUACCUGACGCUGAGGAACGAAAGCCAGGGGAGCGAACGGG
rnacentral:rRNA from 1 species